CCUACGGGGGCAGCAGUAGGGAAUCUUCCACAAUGGGCGAAAGCCUGAUGGAGCAACGCCGCGUGGGUGAAGAAGGUCUUCGGAUCGUAAAACCCUGUUGAUAGAGAAGAAAGUGCGUGAGGGUAACUGUUCACGUUUCGACGGUAUCUAACCAGACAGCCACGGCUAACUACGUGUCAGCAGCCGCGGUAAUACGUAGGUGGCAAGCGUUAUCCGGAUUUAUUGGGGGUAAAGGGAACGCAGGCGGUCUUUUAAGUCUGAUGUGAAAGCCCUCGGCUUAACCGGAGUAGUGCAUUGGAAACUGGGAGACUUGAGUGCAGAAGAGGAGAGUGGAACUCCAGGUGUAGCGGUGAAAUGCGUAGAUAUAUGGAAGAACACCAGUGGCGAAAGCGGCUCUCUGGUCUGUAACUGACGCUGAGGUUCGAAAGCGUGGGUAGCAAACAGGAUUAGAUACCCUAGUAGUC
rnacentral:rRNA from 1 species